ACUGGAACUACCGUAGUUGGCACAAAUAAAAAGAAGUGGAAUUUUUAAGGAAAUUGAGGUCAAGUAUCGACUUCAACAUGUUCGACUUUUGGAUUGAUGAUUUCAUAAAGAUUUAUUGCAAAUUUACUGGAGAUUUUAAUUCCAUUUGAAUUAGGAGUUAGUUGGUUUGAUGUUGAGAUUAUUACAUUUAGUUGGAUCUCAAUUUUACUUGAGAUAAAAAAGAUAAUCUGUUUUGACAA